ACACGUGGGCAACCUGCCUUAUAGAGGGGAAUAGCCUUCCGAAAGGAAGAUUAAUACCGCAUAAGAUUGUAGCUUCGCAUGAAGUAGCAAUUAAAGGAGCAAUCCGCUAUGAGAUGGGCCCGCGGCGCAUUAGCUAGUUGGUGAGGUAACGGCUCACCAAGGCGACGAUGCGUAGCCGACCUGAGAGGGUGAUCGGCCACAUUGGGACUGAGACACGGCCCAGACUCCUACGGGAGGCAGCAUG
rnacentral:rRNA from 1 species